UCUAAUAACCCAAUCUCAAACUUAAAGAAACACUGCAAGAACUUUUUUUGCCCUGAAACAUUGAGUACGUUGUCAACCUGAUAUCCUUUCACCCCUGAAGACUAUAGUAUUUCCUAUAGAAAGGAACAUUCCCUAAAUAACAAAACAGCCAUCAGAAUCGGCAAACUGCCAGGCGCUGUGGUUCACGCCUGAAAUCCCAGCACUUUGGGAGGCAGAGGCAGGUGGAUCUCUUGAUUCCAGGAGUUUGAGACCAGGCUGGGCAACAUAACAAGACCCUGUCUCUACAAAAAAUAAUUAGCCAGAUGUGGUGGCACACACCUGUCAUUCCAGCUACUCAGAAGGCUGAGGCAGGAGAAUCGCUUGAACCCAGGAGGCAAAGGUUGCAGUGAGCCAAGAUUGUGCCACCGCACUCCAACCUGGGUGACAGAGUGCGACUGUCUCAAAAAAAGAAAAAGAAAGGAAAGAAGGAAGGGAGGAAAAAGAAAUGUAGGAUCUCCAGCCAGGCACAGUGGCUCACACCUGUAAUCCUAGCACUUUGGGAGGCCAAGGUGGGCGGAUCACCUGAGGUCAGGAGUUCAAGAGCAGCCUGGCCAACGUGGUGAAACCCCAUCUUAAAGAAAAAGAAGAAGAAAGGUAGGAUCUCCAACCCUAUCAGAUCUUCUGAAUCAGGAUCUGCAGGUGAUUCAUGUGCACUUGAAGUUUAGGAAGCACUGUUGUACAAGACCGAUUCCCUUUUAAGGCACAUCUGUGCCAGUCAGAAAAUUCUGUGAAAGUCCUCUGGAUUGACUGUUUUGUAUUGAGGUGAAAGAAUGAAGAGUAUAACACCCCCACUGAAAGCAAAAACUCCAAGAAUUACCACAAGCAAGAAUUCCAAAUUAUAGAGAUUAUAUCUAUGGAAAUAAAGUGUUGACGGUGGGGCAUCCGGGAAGGGGAUCAUAGUAUAGCCCUGUGUUUUUUAAAUAUUUAACACUGAUUCAAAAGACACACAUACAUACCACGUACAUAUACAUACAUGCCUGUAUACCUGGGAUGGGGCAGGAUGGAGG
rnacentral:lncRNA from 1 species